GAUGAACGCUGGCGGCGUGCCUAAUACAUGCAAGUCGAGCGAACAGACGAGGAGCUUGCUCCUCUGACGUUAGCGGCGGACGGGUGAGUAACACGUGGAUAACCUACCUAUAAGACUGGGAUAACUUCGGGAAACCGGAGCUAAUACCGGAUAAUAUAUUGAACCGCAUGGUUCAAUAGUGAAAGACGGUUUUGCUGUCACUUAUAGAUGGAUCCGUGCCGCAUUAGCUAGUUGGUAAGGUAACGGCUUACCAAGGCGACGAUGCGUAGCCGACCUGAGAGGGUGAUCGGCCACACUGGAACUGAGACACGGUCCAGACUCCUACGGGAGGCAGCAGUAGGGAAUCUUCCGCAAUGGGCGAAAGCCUGACGGAGCAACGCCGCGUGAGUGAUGAAGGUCUUCGGAUCGUAAAACUCUGUUAUUAGGGAAGAACAAAUGUGUAAGUAAAUAUGCACGUCUUGACGGUACCUAAUCAGAAAGCCACGGCUAACUACGUG
rnacentral:rRNA from 1 species